GACGAACCGUGCGAACGUUAUUCGGAAUCACUGGGCUUAAAGCGCGUGUAGGCGGGACGGCACGUCUGUCGCUGAAAUCCCCCGGCUUAACCGGGGACUGGCGUAGAUACGACCGUCCUGGAGGGGCGUAGGGGGACCUGGAACUUCCGGUGGAGCGGUGAAAUGCGUUGAGAUCGGAAGGAACGCCCGUGGCGAAAGCGAGGUCCUGGACGCCUACUGACGCUGAGAGCGAAAGCCAGGGGAGCGAACGGG
rnacentral:rRNA from 1 species